AUUGAACGCUGGCGGCAUGCCUUACACAUGCAAGUCGAACGGUAACAGGUCUUCGGAUGCUGACGAGUGGCGAACGGGUGAGUAAUAUAUCGGAACGUGCCCAGUCGUGGGGGAUAACGCGGCGAAAGCUGUGCUAAUACCGCAUACGAUCUAUGGACGAAAGCGGGGGAUCGCAAGACCUCGCGCGAUCGGAGCGGCCGAUAUCAGAUUAGGUAGUUGGUGGGGUAAAGGCCCACCAAGCCAACGAUCUGUAGCUGGUCUGAGAGGACGACCAGCCACACUGGAACUGAGACAAGGUCCAGACUCCUACGGGAGGCAGCAGUGGGGAAUUUUGGACAAUGGGCGCAAGCCUGAUCCAGCAAUGCCGCGUGCAGGAUGAAGGCCUUCGGGUUGUAAACUGCUUUUGUACGGAACGAAAAGGUCCUAGUUAAUACCUGGGGCCCAUGACGGUACCGUAAGAAUAAGCACCGGCUAACUACGUGCCAGCCGCCGCCGUAACAC
rnacentral:rRNA from 1 species